rnacentral:rRNA from 1 species
UACAGAGGUCUCAAGCGUUGUUCGGAUUCAUUGGGCGUAAAGGGUGUGUAGGUGGCGCGCUAAGUCGGGUUGUGCGAAAUUUCGGAAGCUUAACUCCGAAACUGCAUUCGAUACUGGCGUGCUUGAGGACUGGAAGAGGAGGACUGGAAUUCAUGGUGGUAGCAAGUGAAAUGCGUAGAGAUCAUGAGGAAGACCAGUGGCGAAGGCGGGUCUCUGGACAGUUCCUGACACUGAGACACGAAGGCCAGGGGAGCAAACGGG